GUACUCUCACACUUCCAAUUCCUUUGGAUUGGGAGCGGUGGACUUGGGCGUUGCUGCUUGACUGUGGCUCACCUGAAAUACGUUAGUGCACCUCUUGAUUGGACAUAGUACGGCGUGAUAAGUGUCUUCGCCGGCUCCUCGCAAUGAGGGUGGCCGAUCGGGAGCUCUGUUGCUUCAAACUGUCUUCGGACAAUCUUCUGACA
rnacentral:misc_RNA from 1 species